CUUGAAUGGGUAGAAUACAUUAUCCUGUUUGAGAAAGUGACUGUGGCCAGGCAAAGCACAAUUUGAAGUCAGUGACUUACUCUGGACCAAAACAGAAAGAAAGACAGAAAGACAGUGAGAAAGACAGAAAGACAGAGAGAAAGAGAGACAGAGAGAAAGAGAGACAGAGAGAAAGAGAGAAGAAUCGUGUUAAUGACUAUUUAAUGCCUCUUUCUUUUACAGCAUAUUAAUUGGAGGUUGGUGUUAGUACCAACAGAGACUGCACUUCUCAGCUGGAGUUCUUUGACACAGCUCCUGGAACAACUGCUGCUGACUCUUUUCUUCCUGGAAGACACAGGUCACAAUUUUCACCUCGAAGAGCACCCUUGAAAAGAGUGGGCUUGUGCCAGCAUGAGGCAGUAGAAGCUUCUAAUGAUACAAAAAAACCAGGAAUGAUUGAUUUAGCCGCUUUAGUAAUUACCAUUCCUUCAAAGACAGAUGAACCUGAAAGAUGCAACCUGCACAGCUUCAUGCAAGGAGUAAAUGGGUAUUUUGAAAACAAAUUUCUGAGCAUCCAAGAUAUCAGUGUAGAGUUUGAUGAGCUUGAUUACUAUUACUCUACAGAGAGCCUUAAAAGCAUUGAAAUAUGACUGAAGUUUUCAAGCCUGAGGUAUGAUAAUGUUCUGUUUUUAUCAGAGCAUUAAAAAGCUUGUGAGGAUGGAUACAAGCCAGAAAGUCUUCGUUUGUAAAUCUUACACAAUAUAAGUUUCAAUCUAUCCCUAUUUGUUGCGACAAGACCACACUGCCCACACAGCCAGAGUGUGAUUUAUUCUGUGUAACACUAUAAGUCUGUUCUUAAAAUACAGUUUAGCCCUUAUCUCUCUUGUU
rnacentral:lncRNA from 1 species